rnacentral:rRNA from 1 species
ACGAACGCUGGCGGCGUGAUUAACACAUGCAAGUCGAACGGAAAGGCCCUGCUUUUGUGGGGUGCUCGAGUGGCGAACGGGUGAGUAACACGUGAGUAACCUGCCCUUGACUUUGGGAUAACUUCAGGAAACUGGGGCUAAUACCGGAUAGGAGCUCCUGCUGCAUGGUGGGGGUUGGAAAGUUUCGGCGGUUGGGGAUGGACUCGCGGCUUAUCAGCUUGUUGGUGGGGUAGUGGCUUACCAAGGCUUUGACGGGUAGCCGGCCUGAGAGGGUGACCGGCCACAUUGGGACUGAGAUACGGCCCAGACUCCUACGGGAGGCAGCAGUGGGGAAUAUUGCACAAUGGGCGGAAGCCUGAUGCAGCAACGCCGCGUGCGGGAUGACGGCCUUCGGGUUGUAAACCGCUUUCGCCUGUGACGAAGCGUGAGUGACGGUAAUGGGUAAAGAAGCACCGGCUAACUACGUG